UUACUUACUCGUCUGAGCCUUGUCAGGGUU
rnacentral:piRNA from 1 species